ACGAGCUGGGGCAGGCCAAGCAGUCCCUCACGUUCUCCUGGACCGCGGGCCAACCGUUCAACUCGGUCGGCUACUUC
rnacentral:tRNA from 1 species